ensembl:ncRNA F20B10.9 ncRNA
GAUGAGCUCGCACACGUAGUACUCCGGUCGUCGAAAAAAAGUGUGUCUGGAGGAGAGAUUGUGCACACUCAUUUGCAAACAUGCACAAAUACACACACAAAACAGGACAGGUCAGUUUGGCGUGGGAGCAGGAGCAAUAGCCGACGCGGAAACAAGACAUACGCAGUACUUUGAAGUGAUUUUAACAUUGAAAUCAUAAUGUCUAAAGUUGAGGUUGAUGUGUC